AUUGAACGCUGGCGGCAGGCCUAACACAUGCAAGUCGAACGAGUGGCGGACGGGUGAGUAAUGUAUGGGAAACUGCCUGAUGGAGGGGGAUAACUACUGGAAACGGUCGCUAAUACCGCAUACCAUCAAAUUUGCCCAGAUGGGCUAAGCUUGUGUGUGGGGUAAAGGCUCACCAAGGCGACGAUCCCUAGCUGGUCUGAGAGGAUGACCAGCCACACUGGAACUGAGACACGGUCCAGACUCCUACGGGAGGCAGCAGUGGGGAAUAUUGUACAAGGGGCGCAAGCCUGAUGCAGCCAUGCCGCGUGUAUGAAGAAGGCCUUCGGGUUGUAAAGUACUUUCAGCUGGGAGGCGUUACCCGCAGAAGAAGCACCGGCUAACUCCGUGCCAGCAGCCGCGGUAAUAC
rnacentral:rRNA from 1 species